rnacentral:rRNA from 1 species
GAAGAGAUCAGANACCGUCGUAGUUCCGNCCGUAAACGAUGCNGACUGGCGCUCCGCCGGCGUUCGCUUCGAUGACCNNGCGGGGAGCCUGCGCGGGNAACCAUAGUCGGUUCNGAGGGGAGUAUGGUUGCAAAACAGNAACUUAAAGGAAUUGACGGAAGGGCACCACCAGGAGUGGAGCCUGCGGCUUAAUUUGACUCAACACGGGAAAACUCACCCGGUCCGGACACCGGUAGGAUUGACAGAUCGAUAGCUCUUUCUCGAUUCGGUGGGUGGUGGUGCAUGGCCGUUCUUAGUUGGUGGAGCGCUCCGUCUGGUUGAUUCCGGUAACGAACGAGACUCCGGCCUGCUAACUAGCGCGUCGAUUAGUGCUUUUCCGGUAGCGUGGCGGCGCCGAAGCCGUCGUCGGUAAGCUGUCCUGCGUUCGGUUCUUUUCCCUUUUUCUUCGAGCUCGGGCUUCCGUUGCCGUUGCCGUCGUCGUCGCGUCGUCGUCGUCUUCUUCUUUCGCGAGUUCGCUUGCGGAAUGGAGGAAUGAAGGCAGCGCUGGCGGAGGCGGCGGUCGGUUUUUCGGGCUCGGGAGGGGGGGACCGACGCGAACAGCCCCGGCGUCGGCACGUCGUCGCGUCCGGGCCAGUCGGUUGGCGAACGCAGCGCUUCUUAGAGGGACGGGCGGCAGAAAGCCGCACGAGGCGGAGCGAUAACAGGUCUGUGAUGCCCUUAGAUGUCCGGGGCCGCACACGCUCUACACUGGAGGUAUCAGCGGGCGCCACUCCCCCGGCCCGAGAGGGUCGGGAAACCUCUGAACCACCUCCCGUGAUAGGGAUCGGGGUCUGGAACCAACCCCGUGAACGAGGAAUUCCCGGAAGGCGCGGGUCAUCUGCCCGCGUCGAUCACGUCCCUGCCCUUUGUACACACCGUCCGUCGCUACUACCGAUCGAACGGUCCGGUGAGGUCCUCGGAUCUGGCCGACGAGUUCGCAGGCCGCGCGGCGGCGUUUCGAGUCGGCCGUCAGGUCGGUUCGUUGCCGUCGUCGGUGCGCUCUCUGAUGGCCCGGAGAAGACGACCGAACCCGAUCGCU